rnacentral:rRNA from 1 species
UACGAAGGUGGCAAGCGUUGUUCGGAUUUACUGGGCGUAAAGGGCUCGUAGGCGGCCAACUAAGUCAUACGUGAAAUCCCUCAGCUUAACUGGGGAACUGCGUGUGAUACUGGAUGGCUUGGAUUUGGGAGAGGGAUGCGGAAUUCCAGGUGUAGCGGUGAAAUGCGUAGAUAUCGGAAGGAACAUCAGUGGCGAAAGCGACUUCCUGGACCAAUACUGACGCUCAUGUGCGAAAGCGUGGGGAGCAAACAGG